UACGUAGGUGUCGAGCGUUGUCCGGAUUUAUUGGGCGUAAAGAGCCCGCAGGCGGCUUGGCAAGUUUGAGGUGAAAUCUCCCGGCUCAACUGGGAGGGUGCCUUGAAAACUGCUAGGCUUGAGGCAGGGAGAGGGAUGUGGAAUUCCAGGUGUAGUGGUGAAAUGCGUAGAGAUCCGGAGGAACCCCUGAGGCGAAGGCGGCGUCCUGGCGCACUUCUGACGUUCAGACACGACAGCAUGGGGAGCGAACGGG
rnacentral:rRNA from 1 species